UAACGAAUCUUCCGCAAUGGGCGAAAGCCUGACGGAGCAAUGCCGCGUGUGGGAUGAAGCGCCUUCGGCGUGUAAACCACUGUCAGGGAAUGGAACCAAUGAUUAUUCCCAAAGGAAGUGGCGACUAACUCUGUGCCAGCAGUCGCGGUAAUACAGAGGCCACAAGCGUUAGUCGGAAUCACUGGGCUUAAAGGGUGCGUAGGCGGGCCCGCAAGCGUCUUGUGAAAUCCCAUGGCUCAACCAUGGAAUUGCAGGGCGAACUGCGGGUCUUGAGGCAGGUAGGGGCCGGAAGAACAGUAGGUGGAGCGGUGAAAUGCGUAGAUAUCUACUGGAAUGCCGAUGGGGAAGCCGUCCGGCUGGGCCUGUCCUGACGCUGAGGCACGAAAGCGUGGGGAGCAAACAGGAUUAGAUACCCGGGUAGUCCCUGAGCGGGCUGGCAAGGCGCAU
rnacentral:rRNA from 1 species